AAGGUAGAAGGUGGGGUCUGCCGGACGCGUGUUCCUGCCACCAGGUGCCCGCUCCCCGCGAGGCCGGCUCAGGAGCAGAAUACCACCCACAGGACAACGAAGAAAACCUAUCUUCAGUCCCCACCCACGAAAUGCUGGGGGGUGGGGAGGACUGGAAAAGGAGUAAGGGGAGAGGAAGGGUGAGCAGCUGCAAGAAGUCUUUACACCUCUCUGCGGUUCCUGGUAAACGCGCUCAUGUCCUGGGUAUGGAAGGGACUUAAGAAUUCAGGAAAGAUCAAAAUAACGGGCCUCUUCCCCACUCCCUCGCCCUCCCUUCCCCGCUGCUGGGGGGUUAGGGAGGCUCCGUGGAGCUCCAGCACUCUAGAAGGAUCGGGUGAGGCGCGAGGCCUUGCGGGCGGGUGAACCCAAGGUGGGGUGGAAGGCUCCAACCCGCCCAAUCUGAGCCCGAGGCCUGCUGAGAAGCAUGGGGGCCUUGGGAUAGUUCCAGAAUGAGGAUGUGCGUUUCUAGCUGCUUUGCGCCCUCCUCCCCCAAAAAUCUGCUACCACAAUUCCAACCCGGCGGCACGCCCCCAAGACUCCUUUGUCGCCCCAGGGGCGGGACCUGAGCUGUCGAUUUCAGGAGCCCUUCGUGACUUCAAAAGUCCUGGGCACUGUUGCUCAUGAGUGCUGCACAACUGUCGCCCUCUAAAGCCACCUCCAUCCCUCACUGGGCUGGCCUCCUGAGCCUUCGGUGAGGAAACGGGGUUCCGAGUUGCCCGCCUGAGAGCUUAACAGUCUGACUAGAAAAGGGCUAAUUCGCUUUCUGUGCAAAUCUCUUGAGCUAAUUAUUUAAUCUGAAACAUGGACAGGUAAAGGACCAUUGGCGGGCGUGGGGAGGGAGGUGUGGAAUCUUUCCCACACUUUUUGUCACCUUAAAGAAAAAAAAAAGACACCCAAACUCCUCUGGUCUGAAUGGGCUGCCUGGAACUGGGCUUCCCGGGGCCAGGAGUGGGCCCCUAGAAGUUUCCCAGUUUGGGGUGGGGCCGGGGUUCCGAAGUCUAGAGCUGGGAGUCGGGUUCAGCGGCCCGAGACGCUGGCUCUCCCAGACUCCCUUGCGCCGGGGCAGUGCGCGGGGGCGGCUCGGGUCCCUCCCGGGCCGGCGGGGACCCUCAGGCUCCCGGGGCGCCGCCCACCAGCCCGACCCGGCGGCCUAGAAAUCCCCAUUCUGCUCCCGCCUCGCCCCGGCCGGCCAGCGCAGGGCCCCUCAGGCCCGCAAUCUCCAGGCUCAAACGGCGAACAGGUCCCCGCAUCCGCCUGCCUUUGCACUUGGGGGUGGGAGAGCCACCUUGUGACGCCCCUUCUGCCUCUCACCAGCUUCCCCCUUUCUCCCCGUCCUGUACGGUUCCCCCUGGAGCCAGAAGGAAGCCCGGUGCCAGCCAGCCUUCCUGAAAGACCAAGCCCGCGCCAUCCGGCUUCCUCCAGUGGACGCCUGCAGGACCCAGGUGAGACACGGAACCGGUUGGGGACGCGAGCCAGGGAUCCUGACCGGUUGGGGGCGGCGAGCAAGGGAUCCUGACUUGGGGGCGUUGCCUCCCGGAAUCCAAGCGGCCUUUUGCCCGGGUCUCCCGAGAUGCAUCGAAAUUGAGCUCGUCCACACAGCCCCCUGACUGCGUGAUGCCCUUUUCUGACUUAAAACAUUCCUUGUACCUUUAUUUACACGAUCCAAGUUGCAGUGUGCCUAGAUUUUCCUCCAAGGACAAAAAUGUGAAUAAAGCAAUAUUUUAGCCAAACAUUUCUGUGUCAAUUAAGAAGAUUGCAAUUCGUUCCAGACUAUAAAUUCUCUUUAACAACUCCCUAAGGUAUUCUUUUAAAUUGUUUUUCAGCGUUGCUAAAUGUGCAUCAUAAUGUGUGGGAGACUUGUAUAAAGUGAAUCAAUUUAUACUCAGCUGAUUAAUUGACCCGAUGUUACCACCUCCAAGGAGGCACCUUUCCACUAUUUUCUCAUUUUUUCCCCAACACAUGUUAUUUGUUAGUGAGGAAGCUGCGUGCACGUGGCAUUGUAUAAAGUUUAUUAGACAGACGUGGCCCUUAAACUAGGAAGAGCUUAGUCUAACUCUAAAUCUAAAAUUCGACAUUUCGGUAAGUUGUGAGACAAGAUACCCAGGUUGUUUGAUAAACCAGAAUUGAACAUAAUUUUUUAAAAAUUUAAAUCACAGGAAUGUUUUUCUUGAAGGCAUCCAGCAUCUCCAGUUAGCAGUACUGAUUUUUUUUCCCCCCAACAAAGGAACACUACAUCAACACUGUUGGCGGGGACCUGGACACAGAAGACUCCUGUUUCAAGAAAAUACAAUCAUCUCUCAAAGGCUGUAAUUUAUAUGCAUUUUAAAACUCUAGGCAUUGAAAACCACCCAAGUGUCCCAAAUAGAAGGGUAAUAUAUAAUCAAUCACUCAGUGUAAUAUUAUACAUCCUUUAAAAAUGUUAUUGGGAAAUGUUUUAUGAUCUGUAAGUCCAAGGAAUCCUCUCCCACCAUUUCUUUCCCCCCGCUGUUCCCCCAUACCCACACUUCUUUGUUCCAAUUGGCAUGUAAAUUUGGUUUUCCCGCCAAAUGAGUCAGUCAUGAUGGGAACCUCAACUGAUUUGAACAGAUGUGUGUCAAUGUUACUUGGAAAACUAGAUGUCAAUAACCAGGGUCACAGAAAAAGGCAGUGGUCACAACUCUGUAAAAAUGUAUGCAUGCACACAGACAAGAACUAAAGUGGAACCCCACACAGGAAAACAGUGGGCUGUACUCCAGUGCUGGGACAUUGAAUGACUGUAUGCUGCUUUUGAUUUCCGUU
rnacentral:lncRNA from 1 species